GCCGUGGUAGCUCAGUGGCCAGAGCAGUCGAUUUGUAAUCGACCGGUCGGGGGUUCGACUCCCCCCCACGGCU
rfam:Halobacterium hubeiense strain JI20-1 genome assembly, chromosome: I